GAGAAAAAUAAAUAAAGUACCAGAAUGGAUAGGAGACCCUGACCAGAGAUAAAUGAUUCCUCUCCUGAGAUGUGUUUUUGUUUUAUCACAAUGACCUUUCAGAGAAGAGAUGAAGCCAGCCUCAGGUUAACUCUGAAGGCCUUGACUCAUCCAACUGAGAGCAGAUUAGCCCAGAUGGAGACAUUUUCAACACGGUUCUGUCUGACCAAUCAGCGACAGCUGGGAUUAGCCAAAUACCUUCUCUCAUCUGCUUGCUCACAGAAAGACGCUUACACUCUAUCAAGCAGAGAGCAAAAGAGAGAGCAGAAAGGAGAGAAUGAACCUGUUAUGUGGCACAGCAGAAUCUGCAUCGUCUGCAUGCUGGAGAGGAACACUUCCCUGCGUACGGACACC
ensembl:lncRNA